UUCUUUAUAAUUGAUAUAGGGAUUUUUAAAAUAUAAACUUCAGUAAUUGGCAGAUAUUUCCUAAAAGGUUUCUCUAUAAAAAGUAAACGCAACCUGCUGCCCUGUCGAUUUAAUCUGAUAGGGUAGAUUAAUCUUCACUUAACGUUUCGGUUUAGCCGCUUUGUACACCCAAUUUGGGUUUUGGCUUCAGCCAAAUCGUAUCUGCAGCUCAAACUUAUCGGUAAUCCAUCGCCUUCCAGGGCCACUUAACAUACUUUUUAUCUAUAUCUUCGAUCUGGCCGCAUUUCCUCUUUAUCGAGUUUGGUUCGGUUCCUGUUCAGGCCGCAACUUCCUUGGCAUUGUGGCUCGUUUUUUUCUUUCCUUUGUUUUUGAUAUACUUUUUUGGCAAACUUCUCGGGUGUCAGGGAGGAAGUAGGUGUACAUGUUGUGGUUGAUUCGAAGGAUACCUGCUCCUCGCGAGGGAUGCUGUCGCCUGGAACCCGAAUUCAGUGUCCUGAAAGGCGAUACGACGGGAGUGUGCGAAUGCCGGUUUGGCAUUUGUCUAAAAUGCGGUUUUCCCUGGCAUUUAAUUUCUAUUUCAACAUUGCAUUCGUAAUUCGAGCCCUUCCCACAGGUGUGUGUGUGUGUGCGUGUGUGGAUUUGGUCUUGGGGAAUUGGAAUUGGAGCAGGUUAGCUGGCAAUCUCUCUAGACGGUGUAUUUUAGUGCUGGAGUCCAUCGUUUAUAUAUUCAUGUUACCUUGGAGAGCAUUUUCCCUGCUUUUUGUUUGGCUUUCCCUCAAAUUGUGCGUGCUAAAAACAGUUGACAUAUCCAUGGGCGUGGCUCAAUGCUCGGUGUCUGGGGGCUUUUACCGUUGGCAUUUUACCUGAGCUACCUGCUCAACCAGCAACUCACUUGGCGCUCCUUAAAAUGUCAAAUGUUCUCGGGGACCAUCCAUCCAUCCGUUCGCUCGUCCGUGCCCACAUAUGAUGUACCCAUCCCCUGCAGCUACAGCUGCUAAUGGAAAUUGCGGUUGGCGGAGGCGUUUGGCGACGACUUCCUGUCGUGCUCGGCCUGGAGAAAUUUAUGCUAAAAGGUUGCCCGUUUGACUUGAGGACGACCUGCGCUUUCCACCCGAGAUGCCCCUGCAACUUAAGGCCUCCAAUUCCACGGGCUAUCUAUUAGAAUAUGAGCUAUUUCGUAUGAAGGUGGUCGCAGCAAAAACGAAUGUUAUCCAUUCAUAUUUAGGAGCAAUUUGCCUGUACGAUGGCCAAUCCCGGCCCAUCCUUGGUGUCCGUCCGUAAGUGAGUCCUUUGUCCGUUGUCCGUGAGUGCGUGCGGCGCCUGGAAAAGCAUUUUGUGUAAAUGCGGCGCAAACAAGCUCCAGACUAAUUACGACAGGGAGAUAAAGGAAAGCAGAGCCAGCCAUGCCAGGAUUCAGGUUCCAGGAUAAUAAUCUAAGCAAAUUUAUCAACACGGACACAUAUGAACAAAAUAUGAAGGAAAAAACGAGCAGACAGCAAGGGAUACGCACCAAACGAGCGAGUGAAAAAUUAUGCGAUGCGGACCCCAACAAAAGACACAUGGAAAACACUGUGGAAAAUGGGAACAGAAAGGGGUUUGUAAAUGUGAAGGAUUCGGAAAUUGGGAAUUUGCCUAGUGCUGUUUGUUUAGUUAUUUUCAGUUAAUUAACAUUUCCUGAAAAUUACUAAAAUCUAAACUGUUACCUUCUAUUUUUUUAUUUUGUUUACAAACGAAACUAAAUUCAUUGAAAGCAACAUUAAAUUAAUUAAAUAAUAUUAAAUUCUUUUUUAAGAUGUGCGAAAUGUAAUUGUAUUUAGCUAGUUAAGUGAUUAAACUUUUGGAAGUAACAAAAUACAUAUUUUUCGAGAAAAUGUUGCAUUAAAAAUAUACAUUUAUUCAAUCAUUACUAUAGAUAUUUAAACAACUUUUGUGCUUAUUGACAUGUUAAGUUGGGUAACUUAAAAUAGCACGCCACGUGCUGCAGUGCAAAAAAAAAACACAGACAAGUAGAACGGCUAAGAUAAGAACUCAAAGAAGGAUUCAGGCAGGCCUAUUCAGACAAAAGGUUAUUUGGGCGAGGUUCCCACUUUCCCAGGAACUGGAAAAUCUGAUUUCCUUUUUGGCAAAGAUCAUUAGGAGAACACCGCCUACAAACAAAUCCCGUGCAAAUAUUUGCCGCAGCUAACAACUAAAUCUGCGCGGGAGAAGAUGUUGCAACAUGGCCUAAGCCCAGAUCGUAAUGUCCUAAGCCGGCUCGGGAUUAAAUUGGCUUAAAUGGGACCUAGAGCACAAAGGUGAAAUGUAUACAGUUCAUCAAGGAUUGAUCCUUUGCAUAAUUUUACGCAUUCUCUGGCUGGCGGGAAACCCCAAAAUGCGAACACCAGAAAAUGCGGAGCGUGAAACGGAGUACGGAACUUUCCUCAACCGGAGGCGACCAUCAAUCAUCGUCAGGCUCUGGGGCACAUUAGCAUUUAUGAACUUUUGGCCGAGUUGAUUUUUCUCUUAAAAGAGCAGCCAAGGGCUGCGAUUUUGGUCUAGGAUGGGUUGACUUUAAUAGGGUUUUCCAUUAUUCCAUGCGCUUGUGCAUAUUUGGCAGUCAAUUAAUGUCAAACUAGUUUCCGCUCUCGCCCAGCAAUCGAUCAAAAAUGUUGAAUGCAACCACCUCUGUGGGUUGCUGCAAUAAAAUUAUUUGACAUUAUUCAUAUGACCCGAAUACAACAGCAAAAAUGAGCGAUGACAAUGAGGUAACCUUAUUAAAACUGGAGGAUAGACGAAGUCACCAUUGAGGUGUUGAUGAUCCCGAUAAAAAGUAAACAUGUUGUGGGAACACCUUUUGCCAUCGGUGGUUAAUGAUUCAGUUUUUACUACAGUACCCAUCAAUUUGAUAUGGUGUUUAGGUUACCGUGGUUCAGCCAAAUGAAACUAAUCUAGAAAUUCAUGGGAGAAGUUCUUCAGAUGAGAUGUUCUUAAUUAAGAUUUGGGUCUUGAUAAGAACAUGAAAAUUAUAGGCUUCAUGCUCGACAAACUUUAAUCGCUAUUACAUACAUUGCUCCAAGGAGAUCGAAACGUGAAAUCUUAUAUUUGUACCAAAAUGUAUAUGUAAUUAAUCUUAAAAAGCAGUAAUGAUAAAGCCAUCUAGAUUUGAAGUGUAUCACUUUAUAUCGUUAAAACAUUGUUAAGCUUCUUAAACUUUAAAUUCCGAUUAGCAAUAACAAAUCUGGCAUUUCACAUAAUCCGUUUGUCUUGUGCAAUUUAAAUUUGCAAACCUGGUAAGCAUUUCAUUAAGUUAAUUAAAAUAAACCGAAAAUCCCCAACCAGUCAAAUGGAAUUUCGCAACUUAGUUUUUCAGAUUUUUUACGCUCUGCCAUUAUUAAAAGCGGCAUUUUAAAUGCCAUUUUGCAUUAUGAAUUUAAUCCAAUUGUUGAUGGCGGUGAAAAAAAGGACAAUGCAGCAAACAUACAGAAACAACAAUCAAAUGAUACGACCCGUGACCGAAGUGGAUUAAACUCUAAUUUAAUAACUCAGUUGGUGGGUGAAAAAAAUGCGAGCUCGCAAAGUGCUCAAAUAUUAUUAAAUGAAAACCUCAAAAUGGGCGACAGUUGCAGCAUAAUGAUUUACACCACAGAACUGUCAACGGUUAUUGAUACUAUAUGGAACAUAUAUACAUAAAUAUAUAUAUAUAUAUUCGAUUUAAGCAGUAUGCCGACACAUGGCGUGGCAUCGGUUGGCCACAAUCCACGAAUCCUGUCCACAGAUGCGUUUACAACUCACCAGAACGCCCAGCACUCAUUCCUCAUAUGUCAUGGAUAGAUGACUACUUAAGGGAUCUGUCAAUUGCCUAGGAUAAUGUUGUGUUCUGUCGGUAAUUUAUGCCCAUACCAAACUCAAGUGGAUCUUGGUUUCUCGGUAUACGUCUGCGCACAUCUGUGUAACCCUAGAUCCCACAACGCCCCCAGCUCCCUGAGAUUCCACUCUCUCCCCAAAGAUCUAUGUAUAUCCCUCGUGGUUAGGCCCAUGCCAAAUGCCAGUAUAAUCACAUUGUUGACUGCAACUGCAACUAAUUACAAAUCAAUUUGAACCAGCCCCCAAAGGCAAACGAAUUCCGGAGAGAGUAGUUCCAUGGCUAACCGCAACACAGGAAGCGGGAUCGCGGGAUCGCGGGUUCCAACCUCCUUAACACCUGCCUGCACCCCAUUAAAAUGGUAUAGGAGCAGUGUCAAUGCCAAGUUUAAAAACAGAACACACAACUAAAUUGACAUCUCAGGCUGGCCGUAAAUCAAAGGAGACAACUCAGACAUCCAAACCAUGUUCAAGUGACGAAAUGAGCUGCAGAAUGAGUCAUAAAAACAUAGGAAUUUGGAGGAGAUGGAUCACAUUUGAUGGUUGUCUUUUAUGAUCCCACAAUUGAGAUACAGCAAGAUGGCGAUAUGAAAUGUCUGUGGAGGGCAGUGUAGAUAUAUUUAAGGAGGAAACGUUGGAUCACAAAUGAUGGAUGGAAUUUUUAGUCAUUUCAGAUAGGAGCUUAUGAAGUGAUAAGCUAGUAAUAGAUCCUCAAAAACGCCUGGUAAGCCCUUAAAAAAUACAAAGAAUGCAGGAAAAGCAGGAAGAACAUAGAAUGUUUGGCAUGUACUUUUACAAUAUUUUAUUUGUAGUACCCCUAGAACUGACGGCUACUUACAUAUAACAACGAAAUAUUAAAGACAUCAAAUUUGAGUGGAAAAAAUAUAAGAAUUGGUAGUGAAAAAAUUGUGUUUAUGCAAACAAUUAAAGCAAAUAUAUUUUUGGGAUCGGACCUACCCCCAUCUCGAUUCUCUUUGUACUCAAACUCCAACUCUUUCCACACAUCGUCUAAGCUUAUUAGUGCCCAAGUUGUUUUUGCCAUAUAUUUAUUUUUAUAAACCUUUCUCAAACAGUGGCGCAUAUAAGCACUUCAGCUUCGAUGCCUGGCCAUUGUUCGGGGAUCUUGAGAAGAACAGAGAAAUCAUUUGUCUUCUAAUUAUGAUUUCAAUGGCUUGGCAAAAUCAAAGAAGGCGUAAUUCGCUCUCACCCCAGGACCAGGACUCGUUCGGGGCUCCUUAAAGGCGGCAAAUCGAAUCAAAGAAAUAGCAAACAAACAAACCAGAAAGGAAAAGGAGACUCCUCUAUGGUAUUGUUGACAGGCCGCCGAAAAGAAGGAGACCGCAAAAUACACUCAGACAAAGGAUGCGGAGCAGGGGCGACUUCAUCUGCACAAAAGGAGCGGAAAAAGCGAUCAAAGAGCUAACAAAAAGCGGAGCACCGAACUCGAAAACAUAAUGCAGAGGAGGAGGCAUCAUCACAUGUCCAAAGUGAGGUAAACCCAUCUGAAAAACCCCUAAGCAUGCCGAAAUCCAAACCAGAUCCAUGCGGCCAGCUUAGGACUCCUUUUUUUUUGGCCUCAUCUGCUUUGUUUGCCACCACAUUGCGUUGUCGUCUUUAAGCGCUUUAAGCGAAAUUAAAACAUUUCACGCCGCAGCAGGAGGUGUCCUGGAAAUUCCAAAGCUCUCAAGGUUUCUUAAAAAUAAUAUCAACACAACCUUUGAACCCAGACUGCAUGUGGCUUAGCACUCGAAGAAAAAUUGUAUUUUAUAAAAAUAAUUUUUUGUUGUUCAACUUUUUCAUAUUUUGAAGGCCUAAGCAAUAUACUUUGUUUUAUUUUGUUUAAUGUGGAACAACUCUGAAACUAAUGAACAUAGUUGAUAUA